AGCUAUUCCUAUUCAUCACCUUCCAGGAUGAUAGAUCAGCAGAGAAGCUCUCUAACAAGUAUUCAGAUUCGGUGUCCUUUCUCACGACCAACCGACGAGAAGGGCUCCAGAGCAGGUGAUGGGGAAGUGCUUUGCUGAGAUAUGUAACUGCCACUGCUUGGAGUAAGAGGGGAGACCAAGACAUUUCCUUCAAUGCCAAAAGAAAGAUUUUGCAGUCAGGAACAUGGAUGUCAAGCAAAAAGGGC